CCUACGGGUGGCAGCAGUGGGGAAUAUUGCACAAUGGGGGGAACCCUGAUGCAGCGACGCCGCGUGUGGGAAGACGGUCCUCUGGAUUGUAAACCACUGUCCCCAGGGACGAAAAUGACGGAACCUGGGGAGGAAGCUCCGGCUAACUACGUGCCAGAAGCCGCGGUAAUACGUAGGGAGCGCGCGUUGUCCGGAAUUCCUGGGUGUAAAGGGAGGGUAGGGGGGGAUGAAAGUUGGGUGGCAAAAUUACCGCCUAAACUGGUAGUCGCACUCAAAACUGAAGCUCUUGAGUGAAGUAGAGGCAGGCGGAAUUCCUGGUGUAGCGGUGAAAUGCGUAGAUAUUAGGAAGAACACCGGUGGCGAAGGCGGCCUGCUGGGCUUUUACUGACGCUGAGGCUCGAAAGUGUGGGGAGCAAACAGGAUUAGAUACCCUAGUAGUC
rnacentral:rRNA from 1 species